CUCACAAACCACUUGAAGUUGAGGGAUUCCAUCAAAAUACAAGAGGCUUUAGAAGACCUUUUAAGACCAACUUUAGCAGUGGCAGAUUGCAGCCCCAUUACAAAUCAGGCCUAGUACAGAAGAGCUUGUACAUUCAGGCUAAAUAUCAGCGUUUACGGUUCACUGGUCCAAAGGGAUUUAUCACUAAUAAAUUCAGAGAAAGAUUACUGAGGGAAAAAAAGGAAUUUACAAACAGUGCCACAGAUAUCUAAUCUGGAAUUGUUACGAAUGGAAAUGAACACUACAGGAGGAUAUUUUGGAACAUCUCUUUUUAUCGGAAGUUAAAAUUGGCACUAAUACUGUAACUUUCUUGAUAAAAUAACUUUAUUUUUCAGUAGUGGAAUGCUGCAACUUUUUU